rnacentral:rRNA from 1 species
UGAGGAAUAUUGGUCAAUGGCCUAACGGCUGAACCAGCAACUUGGAAGAAUGUAUAGCAAUAGCUAGUUGUAUUAACAAAGUUUUUACAAUAUCGAUAAACUCGAAUAAAAUUCUAGGUAGAUACAUGAUAAUGACAUUAUCUAUUUAUGGUCUUGACCAAUUUACGUGCCAGCAGUCGCGGUAAUACGUAAGAGACCAGUGUUAUUCAUCUUUAAUAGGUUUAAAGCGUACUUAGACGGUAAUUCUUGCUUGAAUAAAGUACAUUAUUACUAGAGUUAUAUGUGAGAGUGCUUGAAGGUACUGUUGAGUGGAGAGAUAAAAUUCUUUUAUACCAGAUGAUUGGCACGGAUAUUGGCGAAAGCAUCACUUUAUGUAAUAACUGACGUUGACAGACGAAGGCUAUGUAUCGCAAAAAGGAUUAGGUACCCAAGUAGUCUUAGCAGAAAAUUAUGAAUGUCAUAAACUAGAUCUUAUUUAGUUUAUAAAUGAAAGUGUAAGCAUUCCACCUCAAGAGUAAUUUGGCAACAUUGAAAAUGAAAUCAUUAGACCGUUUCUGAAACCAGUAGUGAAGUAUGUUAUUUAAUUUGAUAACCC